CAAUAGCGUAUAUUAAAGUUGUUGCAGUUAAAAAGCUCGUAGUUGGAUUUCUGGUGGGAGCGAUCGGUCUGGCGCUUAGCGCGAGUACUUGCAACGUCUCCGGCCAUCCUUGGGGAGAGUCUGUCUGGCAUUAGGUUGUCGGGCAGAGGAUCCUCAUCGUUUACUGUGAAAAAAUUAGAGUGUUCAAAGCAGGCUUAUGCCGUUGAAUAUAUUAGCAUGGAAUAAUAAGAUAGGACUUUGGUACUAUUUUGUUGGUUUGCGCACCAAAGUAAUGAUUAAUAGGGACAGUUGGGGGUAUUCGUAUUCCGUUGUCAGAGGUGAAAUUCUUGGAUUUACGGAAGACGAACUACUGCGAAAGCAUUUACCAAGGAUGUUUUCAUUAA
rnacentral:rRNA from 1 species